rnacentral:rRNA from 1 species
GAUGAACGCUGGCGGCGUGCCUAAUACAUGCAAGUCGAGCGAACAGAUAAGGAGCUUGCUCCUUUGACGUUAGCGGCGGACGGGUGAGUAACACGUGGGUAACCUACCUAUAAGACUGGGAUAACUUCGGGAAACUGGAGCUAAUACCGGAUAACAUUUGGAACCGCAUGGUUCUAAAGUGAAAGAUGGUUUUGCUAUCACUUAUAGAUGGACCCGCGCCGUAUUAGCUAGUUGGUAAGGUAACGGCUUACCAAGGCAACGAUACGUAGCCGACCUGAGAGGGUGAUCGGCCACACUGGAACUGAGACACGGUCCAGACUCCUACGGGAGGCAGCAGUAGGGAAUCUUCCGCAAUGGGCGAAAGCCUGACGGAGCAACGCCGCGUGAGUGAUGAAGGGUUUCGGCUCGUAAAACUCUGUUAUUAGGGAAGAACAAACGUGUAAGUAACUGUGCACGUCUUGACGGUACCUAAUCAGAAAGCCACGGCUAACUACGUG